AUUGAACGCUGGCGGCGUGCUUAACACAUGCAAGUCGAGCGGUAAGGCCCUUUCGGGGGUACACGAGCGGCGAACGGGUGAGUAACACGUGGGUGACCUGCCCUCAGCUCUGGGAUAAGCCUGGGAAACUGGGUCUAAUACUGGAUAUGACUCCACGGUGCAUGUCGUGGGGUGGAAAGCCUUGUGCGGCUGAGGAUGGGCCCGCGGCCUAUCAGCUUGUUGGUGGGGUGAUGGCCUACCAAGGCGACGACGGGUAGCCGGCCUGAGAGGGCGACCGGCCACACUGGGACUGAGACACGGCCCAGACUCCUACGGGAGGCAGCAGUGGGGAAUCUUGCGCAAUGGGCGAAAGCCUGACGCAGCGACGCCGCGUGAGGGAUGACGGCCUCGGUU
rnacentral:rRNA from 1 species